GACGAACCGUGCGAACGUUGUUCGGAUUCACUGGGCUUAAAGGGCGCGUAGGCGGAUCACCAAGUCCGGGGUGAAAUCUUUCGGCUCAACCGGAAAAUUGCCUGGGAUACUGGUGGUCUUGAGGGAGGUAGGGGCAUGCGGAACUUCCGGUGGAGCGGUGAAAUGCGUAGAUAUCGGAAGGAACGCCGGUGGCGAAAGCGGCGUGCUGGACCUCUUCUGACGCUGAGGCGCGAAAGCCAGGGGAGCAAACGGGG
rnacentral:rRNA from 1 species